rnacentral:rRNA from 1 species
GAUGAACGCUAGCUACAGGCUUAACACAUGCAAGUCGAGGGGUAACGAGAGGAAAGCUUGCUUUCCUUGUCGACGACGGGCGCACGGGUGAGUAACGCGUAUCCAACCUGCCCCCAACUAGGGAAUAACCUUGCGAAAGUAAGACUAAUACCCUAUAAUUUCCUCAGAUGUCAUCUGACGAGGAAUAAAGAUUUAUCGGUUGUGGAUGGGGAUGCGUCUGAUUAGCUUGUUGGCGGGGUAACGGCCCACCAAGGCAACGAUCAGUAGGGGUUCUGAGAGGAAGGUCCCCCACAUUGGAACUGAGACACGGUCCAAACUCCUACGGGAGGCAGCAGUGAGGAAUAUCGGUCAAUGGGCGGAAGCCUGAACCAGCCAAGUAGCGUGCAGGAUGACGGCCCUAUGGGUUGUAAACUGCUUUUAUACAGGAAUAAAGUUAGCCACGUGUGGUUAUUUGUAGGUACUGUAUGAAUAAGGACCGGCUAAUUCCGUGCCAGCCGCCGCGGUAA